AUGGACUGAUUCAGCCCCAGGUUCGAAUUUUUUCUAGUUUUCUCACACACACACACACACACACACACACACAGAGUCAUAAUACCUGUAAGAAGGAAAGCAGUCCUGUAGAACUAAAGUGUUUGAAAAAAAUCUAUGAGCUUAAUGUUUUGAAGGAAAUCCCUUCUAUAGCAGUGGAAAGAAGGCAGCUCAUUUUUGACUUUGAAUGGUAGGACUGUAUGUGCUCUUCAGUUUUUGAAAUACAGCUGUGCCACGUGCACUGAACCUUCACGCUGGGAUUCAGCUGCCAUGCUUCACCUUGGGUAUGAUCAUGACAGAGGCUGAGAAAGGUGACUCCCUCCGUUGAUGUAUUUCCCCAUGAUUGUCUUCCACCAAACGAUACUAAUACUCCCGAAAAUACUUAACAUUUACAAAAUGUUUAUUUUCUGAUUCAUGCCAAA